rnacentral:lncRNA from 1 species
CAACUUCUUUGACACUAGGACCAAGACAAGGAAAGAACCGACAGAGCUUCCUAUUAGGAUAUUUCAAUAAGAGGGGCCUUGGCAGCCUAGCAGAAGACUUUAGUUACAAAAAGUUUGAUGUACCCAGAAGGGCCAAUGCAGGCAAAAGGAGACAAGAAAUCCAUCAGGAUACCAAGCCAAAGGGCAAAGAGCUGUAGACGUAAAUCAAUCAGGAUGUCAAAAUGGAGCACGCAGGAGCAGCACCCCUCACAGAGCAUUUCCUUGGAACACACGACCGGAGGAAGUCAUUCAGACACCAUGCCACCCAGCAAACCAUUUACGAGAAGCCCACACGUCUUCACAAAGGAUUCAAGCCCUCCUGUGGAAACCAUGGACCUAUGGAAGGAGACUUACUUGGAAGCCCUAACUGAAGCCUGAAGGAGGGAGAAAAUCUUGCAAGCGAAGUUUGUUGCUGACAACAUUUAACACGAAUAAAGUCUACACAUCACAUACCUAAGACAUGAAAGAACUGUAGGUAAUUCUUCGCCAUAAGUGACCUCCAAGUUAGUAACUACCUGCUCUUCUCGAAAACCUGUAAAGCUUUCGGAGCUCAUGAUUUGGAAGAAUCGAGAUAA